AGCAGCCGCGGUAAUUCCAGCUCCAAUAGCGUAUAUUAAAGUUGUUGCAGUUAAAAGCUCGUAGUUGAAUUUCGGGAUCAAUAUGUCGGUCGUGCCUUGGUACGUACUGGUAUCAUUGGUCUCUCCUUUCUGACGAACCAUGAUGUCAUUAAUUUGGUGUUAUGGGAAGUUAGGACUGUUACUUUGAAAAAUUGAGUGUUUAAAGCAGGCUUUAGCUUGAAUACAUUAGCAUGGAAUAAUGAAAUAGGACGUUCGAACCUAUUUUGUUGGUUUCUAGGAUCAACGUAAUGAUUAAUAGGGAUAGUUGGGGGCAUUAGUAUUCAAUUGUCAGAGGUGAAAUUCUUGGAUUUAUUGAAGACUAACUACUGCGAAAGCAUUUGCCAAGGAUGUUUUCAUUAAUCAAGAACGAAAGUUAGGGGAUCGAAGACGAUCAGAUACCGUCGUAGUCUUAACCAUAAACUAUGCCGACUAGGGAUCGGAUGAUGUUAAUUUUUAAUGACUCAUUCGGCGCCUUAACGGG
rnacentral:misc_RNA from 1 species